CUCCGCUUGGUGUAGUUGGUUUAUCACGUUCGACUGUAAUAGCCAUUGUUAUCGAAAGGUCCCUAGUUCGAUUCUGGGAGCGGAGA
rnacentral:tRNA from 1 species